UACGUAGGGCGCAAGCGUUAUCCGGAAUUAUUGGGCGUAAAGAGCUCGUAGGCGGUUUGUCGCGUCUGCCGUGAAAGUCCGGGGCUCAACUCCGGAUCUGCGGUGGGUACGGGCAGAAUAGAGUGAUGUAGGGGAGACUGGAAUUCCUGGUGUAGCGGUGAAAUGCGCAGAUAUCAGGAGGAACACCGAUGGCGAAGGCAGGUCUCUGGGCAUUAACUGACGCUGAGGAGCGAAAGCAUGGGGAGCGAACAGG
rnacentral:rRNA from 1 species